rnacentral:rRNA from 1 species
CCUACGGGAGGCUGCAGUGGGGAAUAUUGCACAAUGGGCGCAAGCCUGAUGCAGCCGUGCCGCGUGUGUGAAGAAGGCCUUCGGGUUGUAAAGCACUUUCAGCGGGGAGGAAGGCGGUGAGGUUAAUAACCUCAUCGAUUGACGUUACCCGCAGAAGAAGCACCGGCUAACUCCGUGCCAGCAGCCGCGGUAAUACGGAGGGUGCAAGCGUUAAUCGGAAUUACUGGGCGUAAAGCGCACGCAGGCGGUCUGUCAAGUCGGAUGUGAAAUCCCCGGGCUCAACCUGGGAACUGCAUUCGAAACUGGCAGGCUAGAGUCUUGUAGAGGGGGGUAGAAUUCCAGGUGUAGCGGUGAAAUGCGUAGAGAUCUGGAGGAAUACCGGUGGCGAAGGCGGCCCCCUGGACAAAGACUGACGCUCAGGUGCGAAAGCGUGGGGAGCAAACAGGAUUAGAUACCCGGGUAGUC